rnacentral:rRNA from 1 species
AGCCUUACGCUGGCGGCAGGCUUAACACAUGCAAGUCGAGCGGGCGUUCCAAUACGUCAGCGGCAGACGGGUGAGUAACGCGUGGGAACGUACCUUUUGGUUCGGAACAACACAGGGAAACUUGUGCUAAUACCGGAUAAGCCCUUACGGGGAAAGAUUUAUCGCCGAAAGAUCGGCCCGCGUCUGAUUAGCUAGUUGGUGAGGUAAUGGCUCACCAAGGCGACGAUCAGUAGCUGGUCUGAGAGGAUGAUCAGCCACAUUGGGACUGAGACACGGCCCAAACUCCUACGGGAGGCAGCAGUGGGGAAUAUUGGACAAUGGGGGCAACCCUGAUCCAGCCAUGCCGCGUGAGUGAUGAAGGCCCUAGGGUUGUAAAGCUCUUUUGUGCGGGAAGAUAAUGACGGUACCGCAAGAAUAAGCCCCGGCUAACUUCGUGC